GCCGCUUUAGCUCAGUGGUAGCAGCGUUGCACUUGUACUGGCUUCUGCUUUCAAGCGAUGAGAUGCAAAGGUCCUCUGUUCGAACCAGGGAAGCGGCA
rnacentral:tRNA from 1 species